rnacentral:rRNA from 1 species
GACAGAGGGUGCAAACGUUGUUCGGAAUUACUGGGCGUAAAGCGCACGUAGGCGGCCUUGUAAGUUAGAGGUGAAAGCCCGGAGCUCAACUCCGGAAUUGCCUUUAAGACUGCAUCGCUUGAAUCCAGGAGAGGUGAGUGGAAUUCCGAGUGUAGAGGUGAAAUUCGUAGAUAUUCGGAAGAGCACCAGUGGCGAAGGCGGCUCACUGGACUGGUAUUGACGCUGAGGUGCGAAAGCGUGGGGAGCAAACAGG